rnacentral:lncRNA from 1 species
AUGACCAAAGGAGUCAUGGCCAAAAGGUGGCACAAUCAGGAUUCAAACCAAAGAAAUUCAUCUCUUCCAAAGUCCAUGUUCUCAGCCACCAUAAUGACCUCCAGCUUUUCUGGUUUCCAUUUCCCAGGAUUUAUCCAUCAGGAAACUUACACGAUAUUCCUUCCCUUAUAUAUAAAAUACUUGAAAAUCUGUUACAUAUUGUAUAUGAAUACUCAUCCCAAGAGGUUAAGUCCACAUAAAUAUCUUUCUAUUUAUGUCUCAGUGGUUCUUAUUCACCUUGUGUCUCAGGAGAUCGCGCAGGCGGACAGAGGGUUUUUUGUUGUCUCUCCAUCCUCAGGGUCCCUGGUAAAAUUUUUGAAAAAGUAGACUCGCCAGGGAAGAGACAAGGUGGUGGAAAGAGUCUAGAUUCACACCAGGACAGACGUUCAAACCCAGUGCCAUUACUUUCGGUUAACCUUCAGCGCCUCAGUUUCCCCAUCUAGACAAGGAGGGGUCUUGGGAGGUCAAGUGGAUUAGAUUACACAGUAUACAUUCCACCGGCUUCUCAAGGAAUUAGCCCAACGGUAAUUAGAAAAACGAAUUCCUUUUCUUCCAGUCCUCUGACCUUGGUAAACCCCUGGCUAUCUACCCCAGCGGCUUUGGGAAGCCACGCGCAUGCACACAGACCGAGGACCACACCUCCACGUGCUCGGAAAAUAGGAAGAACCCAUAAGGCUUCGGCUUUGCAGUAUGAAAAGAAACAAAAACUGUGUGAAUGGGUGAAUUGAGA